rnacentral:misc_RNA from 1 species
UCCGAGUUGGCCCCGGCAGUCUCCUACGAGUCCCCGGCAUUACCCGCUGGCAACAUAGGACAAGGGUUGCGCUCGUUGCGGGACUUAACCCAACAUCUCACGACACGAGCUGACGACAGCCAUGCAGCAUCUGUGGUGCACCCUCGAAGGUCACACGUUUCCGUGCGCUUGCAGCACCAUGUCAAGCCCAGGUAAGGUUCUUCGCGUUGCAUCGAAUUAAAGAACAUGCUCCGCUGCUUGUGUGGGCCCCCGUCAAUUCUUUUGAGUUUUAAUCUUGCGACCGUACUCCCCAGGCGGAACACUUAACGCGUUGGCUUCGGCACAGAUGGUUUUCACACCCCCUACACCUAGUGUUCAUCGUUUACGGCGUGGACUAC